rnacentral:rRNA from 1 species
CCAGACUCCUACGGGAGGCAGCAGUGAGGAAUAUUGGUCAAUGGACGAGAGUCUGAACCAGCCAAGUAGCGUGAAGGAUGACUGCCCUAUGGGUUGUAAACUUCUUUUAUAUGGGAAUAAAAUGUUCCACGUGUGGGAUUUUGUAUGUACCAUAUGAAUAAGGAUCGGCUAACUCCGUGCCAGCAGCCGCGGUAAUACGGAGGAUCCGAGCGUUAUCCGGAUUUAUUGGGUUUAAAGGGAGCGUAGGUGGAUUGUUAAGUCAGUUGUGAAAGUUUGCGGCUCAACCGUAAAAUUGCAGUUGAAACUGGCAGUCUUGAGUACAGUAGAGGUGGGCGGAAUUCGUGGUGUAGCGGUGAAAUGCUUAGAUAUCACGAAGAACUCCGAUUGCGAAGGCAGCUCACUGGACUGCAACUGACACUGAGGCUCGAAAGUGUGGGUAUCAAACAGGAUUAGAUACCCCAGUA